CGAUGAUUUUUUCUUUCAAAAUUCCCUUGUGUUGCAGGUAGCGAUGGUGGCAAUGGAGAGAUGGGGAAGGUGAAUUGUAAUGAGAAGCACACAUAUGGUGAGGAGAAGGAGAAGGUGGUGGAGACUAAGUCGGAGCUGAAGCCUAAACCGAGGAGGAGGAAGAAUUGGGAGGAGGAGGAGCUCACAUGGGAGGAGAAGGUGUUGAAGGUUCUUCACAUGGUUCGUACAUGGGAGGUGACUGAAUUCGACCCCAAGAUGGAGUGGUUUGAGCCUACCCGCCUUUGCCUCUUCAACACUGCCUUCUUCGACCUCGACAAAGAGUCUAAGGCUGGGCUUGGGCCACCGAUUCACUCGCUCACUUCCUCUGAUUAUCGCUAUUUGGAGACCUCCAUGAAUAUCAUUUCAAUCAAGGUUGUCGAAUCUGACGUGGGUUACCCUAUCAGCAUCUUCGGCACCGUGUUAGCGAGAGAUCAGUAUGACUAUAGGUGUGUGUAUUUGUUCAGGCGUAGCAGGGACGAUCCCCAGAUCAUCACCUCACCGGAGGACAUGCUAACUUUGACAGGCCCAAAGCGAGGUCUUGGUGCAAAGGAUUAUAUGUUUUUUGAGUUCAAUUUAAAGAUGAAGGGCGAUGAUGGAGUUGACAAAGAUUUUAGCAAAGGUUUGCUGCCAUACAAUGUCGUCUGUCGAACAGGGAGACUCGAGACUUUACAUCUCAGGAGCUGGCUAAGUGUAGUGGAAUUUGCAUUCCUGACUGUUCAAUAUGCCGUUGAAGCUACCCUUGCGGUGAAAAUGUUAGGGGGGGCAUCUGUUUUCACUGGUAGAGUGACUGCUCGGACUACUGGAAAUGAUGAAGAUGAAAUAGUUCUCUAUGACAGUGAAGUUGCAGACACUCGGACAGAGAUUACAGCUGAUGGAUCUGUUCAGCUAAAUCGUGGUUUAGUAGUUGUCCCAUUGAAUGAGGAGCUGGUGCUCAAUAUUUGUGUGUUUGAGGGUGAAGAUGAAGCUGAAAGCUUUGAGUUCAUUCUAGGGCACUAUGAUGAAGAAUUUACCUGCAAGCAAAGCACCUGUGAGUUGCAAGUUAAUAUUAUUUGGACGGCAGUAAAGACACGGCGACGGCGCAAUAUGUGGAAGCGCGUUGGUUGCAUUGUACUGUUACUUUGAAGGCUGUAAAAGGAUUGCACUUAUCACAAUCAUAUAUGAUCGGUGCACUCAAAAUAUAUCAAUCUAUCCAUAAAAUUUCCUAAGAAUAUUGUCUUAG
rnacentral:lncRNA from 1 species